rnacentral:rRNA from 1 species
AUUGAACGCUGGCGGCAGGCUUAACACAUGCGAGUCGAGCGGGGUGAUGGUGCUUGCACUAUCACUUAGCGGCGGACGGGUGAGUAAUGCUUAGGAAUCUGCCUAUUAGUGGGGGACAACAUCUCGAAAGGGAUGCUAAUACCGCGUACGUCCUACGGGAGAAAGCAGGGGAUCACUUGUGAACUUGCGCGAAUAGAUGCGCCAAAGUCGGAUUAGCUAGUUGGUGGGGUAAAGGCCUACCAAGGCGACGAUCUGUAGUGGGUCUGAGAGGAUGAUCCGCCACACUGGGACUGAGACACGGCACGGACUCCUACGGGAGGCAGCAGGGGGGAAUAUUGGACAAUGGGGGGAGCCCUGAUCCAGCCAUGCCGCGUGUGUGAAGAAGGCCUUAUGGUUGUAAAGCACUUUAAGCGAGGAGGAGGCUCUUUUGGUUAAUACCCAAGAUGAGUGGACGUUACUCGCAGAAUAAGCACCGGCUAACUCUGUGCCAGCCGCCGCCGUAA